GAUGAACGCUAGCGGCAGGCCUAAUACAUGCAAGUCGGACGGGAUUCGGGUGCUUGCACCUGAUGAGAGUGGCGCACGGGUGCGUAACACGUAUGUAACCUACCUUAGUCAGGGGGAUAGCCCCUCGAAAGAGAGAUUAAGACCGCGUAACAUCAUUGAAUGGCAUCGGUUGAUGAUCAACUAUUCAUAGGACUAAGAUGGGCAUGCGCAACAUUAGCUAGUUGGUGUGGUAACGGCAUACCAAGGCUACGAUGUUAGGGGAUCUGAGAGGAUGACCCCCCACACUGGUACUGAGACACGGACCAGACUCCUACGGGAGGCAGCAGUAAGGAAUAUUGGUCAAUGGACGGAAGUCUGAACCAGCCAUGCCGCGUGCAGGAAGACGGCCCUAUGGGUUGUAAACUGCUAUUGCAGGGGAAUAAACCUCGGUACGUGUACCGAGUUGAAUGUACCUUGAGAAUAAGGAUCGGCUAACUCCGUGCCAGCCGCCGCUGUAAAAC
rnacentral:rRNA from 1 species